rnacentral:lncRNA from 1 species
UGAAUGUACAAGUAUGCGAGUUGGAAUGCUAAAAUAACAUAGGCUUGAAAGAAUCUGAGAGAAACUGAAGAACUUACCUGGCUCAACUCAACUCAACAUGACAGAACUCAUUUCAAUAUAAAGCAGUUCAAAAGCAAGUGCAAUAUAAAGAAAAGUUGUUUAAAAACAUGAUAUCAACUCUGUGUGUAUGCAAGAUACAAAUAACUCU